AUGUUAUCUGUGCGCCAUGUCCACAAUUUGUUUUGUUUUGUUUUUGCCAUGUAUUUUUGCAUUCAUCCAGGUCAUUUUAGAGUUUUGAGUUCAACAUUCUUACUUUUUUUGUUGUUGUUGUUGUUGUGCAUUGUUCAAUGUGGUCCAAGUAGGCGAGAAGAGAGGAUGAUUGACACAAACAGAGAUGUAAGGUGUGGUGACAUUAGUGGCAUUUAGUGGGAAAAAGGGUCUGUUAUCAAUGGUGUAGCGAUGUAUGAAGCACAAAAGUCACUUUCAAACCAAUCGGUUUUCUGUUGGUCAGUGCGGCGAAUCUGCGAGACCAACGGCAAAAUCUACUUUUGCUGAAAAUUCCCUAUUGAAAUGACUGGAUUUAGCCCAUGAAAAUUAGCCAAACCUUGUAAAUGUGACCGCACCUUUAUAAACUUCUAUAUUUAAGCUUUGAUAAAUCUGGUCCCCUGUGUACAGAAGGCAAAACAAGAUUGGGCUUUCACCCCUGCAGCUGCAGUUUCUUUGUUUUUGUUUUUUUAACAUCGUUGUUCUUUAGGGGUGUUAGCAUCUGUUAUAAAAGAACAUGAUGUUUAAGAGUGAAGCAGGCAGAGAUGUUGAGCAUGUCUUGCUGCAUCCUGUUUCUGCUUAAAAAAAAGUCUCUAUUUAUAUAACUAACAUUUUUUUUUUUCAUCUCUCGUUCUGUCUUCUCAGUUACCUCUGAAGUUUUUCAUGAAUAUUAACAGUGGCAUCACAUUUUAAGAGAUGAAACGGUCUUUCAUUGGUUUGUUUCUGCCUCAGACGACAGUAGUCUGUUCCCGUCACUCAUUCUCUCUCUCUGGGAGGAGCUUUUAUCUUCUCCUGCCUUAUUCUUGCUCUUGACCACUUGCUGUCCCUCUUGAGUGUACUGUGAUAAUUUUUUUAAUUUUUUAAUUUUCCAUUUCCAGGCCCUGUGCUCAAAUGGCAAAAAAGGUGUUUAUUGGCUUUUUUAAUAUAGUCUUCAUAAUAAGAUAUUAGUAGUUUUUUUUUCUGUUUAUAGAAGGAAUCCUUUUUUUCUUUUUAUGUUUUUGUUGUCUUUUUUUGUCACCAUUUAAAAAAAAUGU
ensembl:lncRNA